GGGGAUUUAGCUCAGUUGGUAGAGCGUUCGCUUAGCAUCUCCAAGAAGCUCACUGCGAAAGGUCGCGUGUUCGACUCAUGCAGUCUCCA
rnacentral:tRNA from 1 species